rnacentral:piRNA from 2 species
UGAGGAUUGUAUUGAUAACCACUGGGGUUC